AGUGAACGCUGGCGGCAUGCCUUACACAUGCAAGUCGAACGGUAACACAUUAAGCUCUUGCUUUUCCGCCUGGCGAGUGUUGUAUCGGUCCGUGCUCCAUCGUAGUCUAUUUUUUCUUGCGGGAUCACCUAGUUCAACUUACGCUCUUACCGCAUACGCCCUACUUCUCAAAUCCUUGCAUCUUUGGACCUUCCGCUAUUGGAUUAGCUGAUUUCGGAUUUGGUAGUUGGCCGGGUAAAGGCCCACCAAGUCGACGAUCCGUACCUGGUAUGAGAGGAUGAUCAGCCACACUGGAACUGAGACACGGUCCAGACUCCUACGGGAGGCAGCAGUGGGGAAUAUUGGACAAUGGGCGCAAGCAUGAUCCAGCCAUACCGCGUGGGUGAAGAAGGCCUUCGGGUUGUAAAGCGCUUUUGUUAGGAAAGAAAAGAAGCAGGAUAAUACCAGGGUGUAAUGACGGUACCGAAAGAAUAAGCACCGGCUAACUACGUG
rnacentral:rRNA from 1 species